rnacentral:lncRNA from 1 species
UUCUCUCUCAACAAACCAACCACAUGAGCAAGGCAAGUCAAACAUGAAGAUAAGACAAGAGCUUAUAGUUCACGGUUUAGUUUAAGGUAAAUGAAUAGUGUGGAGGGAUUUUGGUGAGAAGCAGGGCGCAUCAACAGGAAGUGAAAAAAUGAAUUAUGAAUUUUUUUAAUUAAUUAAUGCAAUUUACAAUUAUGACAUUUUAUUUUUAUUGAUUUUAAAAGUGGAAAAUGGAGGCAUUUUGUGUCCAAAUGUAAAGGUGAAUGAUGCUAUAUGUUGUUCAACACUUCCAACUAAUAUAUGCUUCCACGAUUCGUUACCAGUCAUUUAUUAUUAUUCAACCAGGCAGUGACGGAGCCAGAAAUUUUGCAAAGUGGGGGCACCAUUGAUACAAAUUUAUAGCACUAAAUGUAUAAAUUAUUUCAUUUUUGAGAGAAUAUAUAGAAAGGCUUAAUUACAUAUAUAUUUGAUCAUUUAGGUUUGUUUUAGGUUUCAAUUUGGUCCCUUAAGUUUAAAAAGUUUCAAGUUAGUCAUUUUAGUCAAAUUUUGGUUUAAAUCGUCCAUUUAGCUUACAAAUUUGUAUACGUGGACAACUUAGGAGGGUGUCACGUGGAAGUUUUAGACGAAAUUAACUCAAAAUUUAAUAAAAAGAACCAACUUAAGUUGAAAUAAGUAAUGCAUGGGAUUAAAUUGAAACUUUUANNNNNNNNNNNNNNNNNNNNNNNNNNNNNNNNNNNNNNNNCGUGUUUGAUUUCUGUUGUAGUGAGAAAGAAUGAGUGAGGGGUGUGGUUUGUGUGUUGAGUCAAAAUGAAUGAAACUUUGUAUUCGGUGAUAUAUUGAUCUGCCAAGCCAAAUAUUUACAUAUAUUGUCAUAUAUAGAAAAAUACUUCCUCAAAAGUUAGUGCAGGCAUGAGCCCCCACAUCCUUGUAUGUGGCUCCGUCCCUGCAACCAGGCUAUAAGUGAGUGUCUCACAGGGUUGGUUGGAUCAAUACAUUAUAUUAAGAAUAAUCACAUAAGUGAUUUUUGACACUAUAUUUUCAUCCAAAAUUUUAUAAGACAUUAGAGUUAUGAGUCCUCCCACUUAUAUAUUGUUUAACAUCAGCUCUUCCAACCAACAUCUAACUUAACUAUAACGCUUUAUAUAUCUCAAUAUGUUGAGAUAUAAAAGGAGAGAAUACAUGUUAUUGUAAAAAAAAAAGAGAAUACAUGUUAUGAUUACUUUCAACAAUGGUAACAUUUUUUAUUUAAAAGAGGAAAGUUAUUCUAAAAAUAAAAAAGGAAAGGGUAAAUUAAUCGUUA